AUUAACGCUAGCGGCAGGCAUAAUACAUGCAAGUUGAACGGCAGCACAGGUAGCAAUACUGGGUGGCGAGUGGCGCACGGGUGCGUAACACGUAUGCAACCUACCCUAUACAGGCGAAUAACCUUUAGAAAUGAGGGCUAAUACGCCGUAGUAUUACAGAUGGGCAUCUAUUUGUAAUUAAAGAUUUAUCGGUAUAGGAUGGGCAUGCGUCCCAUUAGUUAGUUGGUAAGGUAACGGCUUACCCAAGACGAUGAUGGGUAGGGG
rnacentral:rRNA from 1 species